rnacentral:lncRNA from 1 species
UUCAUUGCUUACUUUUGACGUUCCUUCAAUACUUAGGCGACAGGAGUCAUUGUAUUCCAACCUUUCACUUAGUGCUUCAUGUUCUUCUGAUGCCUCAACGGAUUCAUUUCACAGCAGUGCUUCAACUGGUAGGAUAUAUAGAAUGAAUAAUACCUCAAGUAGAAGGAAGUAAUUGGCAUCGAAGUCCAAAAGGAUGGUUCCAGCUGAUAUAUCACUCUUCAAUCGACGGUUUGCAAUCCAAGAAAAGAUGUGGCUAGGUGACACCUAAUACAGGUGUGUUCUUGGUGAUUCUUUUUUUUAAAUUUACCACAUCUGGAUUUUUGAUUCUUUUUUUCUUCUAAUAUUAUACUGUCAAAAUUGUAAGCAACUACCAUUGGAAGUUCAAUCAAGAAAUGUUUUAAAUUAUAAGGUUAUUGCAGCCUGAUAGCUUGAUUUUUCCUGUUUACCGAGAACGUAAUGAACCUUUGAGAGAUGUUUGAAGAAGAAAAGAUGUUGAACUUGGAACGAUUUUAUGUAUUAAUGAAUUGACUAUGGAGUAAAUAAAAAGAUUGUAAACUUUUGAUGAUGUGAAACUCAUGUUCUUCUGAUGCCUCAACGGAUUCAUUUCACAGCAGUGCUUCAACUGGUAGGAUAUAUAGAAUGAAUAGUACCUCAAUUAGAAGGAAGCAACUGGCAUCGAAGUCCAAAAGGAUGGUUUCGGAUGAUAUAUCAGACUCUUCAAUCGACGGUUUGCAAUCCAAGAAAAGAUGUGCCUGGGUGACACCUAAUACAG